AAUCUCCCAGAUACAACUAGAUGACGAGUCAUCAAACCUGACCACGUUUGCCACACUGUUUGGCAGAUUUAAAUUUCUCAGGAUGCCAUUCGGCAUCAACUCGGCCAGCGAAGUCUUCCAGAGAAACAUGGAACAGCUGUUCCAAGGACUCCCGUG